rnacentral:rRNA from 1 species
GUGGGGAAUAUUGGACAAUGGGCGAAAGCCUGAUCCAGCCAUGCCGCGUGUGUGAAGAAGGUCUUCGGAUUGUAAAGCACUUUAAGUUGGGAGGAAGGGCAGUAAGUUAAUACCUUGCUGUUUUGACGUUACCGACAGAAUAAGCACCGGCUAACUUCGUGCCAGCAGCCGCGGUAAUACGAAGGGUGCAAGCGUUAAUCGGAAUUACUGGGCGUAAAGCGCGCGUAGGUGGUUUUGUAAGUUGGAGGUGAAAUCCCCGGGCUCAACCUGGGAACUGCCUCCAAAACUGCAUGACUAGAGUAAGGUAGAGGGUAGUGGAAUUUCCUGUGUAGCGGUGAAAUGCGUAGAUAUAGGAAGGAACACCAGUGGCGAAGGCGACUACCUGGACUGAUACUGACACUGAGGUGCGAAAGCGUGGGGAGCAAACAGGAUUAGAUACCUGGUAGUCC